rnacentral:rRNA from 1 species
CAAGGAGGCGCAACCUUUAUCCUUGUUUGCCAGCACUUCGGGUGGGAACUCCAGGGAGACUUCCGGUGAUAANCCGGAGGAAGGUGGGGACGACGUCAAGUCAUCAUGGCCCUUACGAGUAGGGCUACACACGUGCUACAAUGGCGCAUACAGAGGGCGGCCAACUUGCGAAAGUGAGCGAAUCCCAAAAAGUGCGUCGUAGUCCGGAUUGGAGUCUGCAACUCGACUCCAUGAAGUCGGAAUCGCUAGUAAUCGUGGAUCAGAAUGCCACGGUGAAUACGUUCCCGGGCCUUGUACACACCGCCCGUCACACCAUGGGAGUGGGCUGCAAAAGAAGUGGGUAGUUUAACCUUCGGGAGGACGCUCACCACUUUGUGGUUCAUGACUGGGGUGAAGUCGUAACAAGGUAACCG